CUGAUGUACAACCUGAACCUCCCCUGAUGCAGCUUGAGAAUGAUUUAUCACCAUCUAUUUGAGUCUGACCAGAUGGCUGCAAUGUUAGAAGCUGUCUUGAGGAAGGAGAAUUUAUUUAUUUAAAGAGGUCCCGCUACAAUGGGUGUCUUGCCCCCCCUCAGUCACUCCGAGGGACUGAAGAGGCCACGACAUCCCUCUGCAGUUAAUGCUCUGAUGGAUACUCCCUUGCACCUGAUUAGAUCAGUAAAGCAGAAACCAGUGUAUAUUGUUGUUAAACCC